GCGGGGGUACCCAAGUGGUCAAAGGGGCUAGAUUCCUUACCUAGUGGAUAAGUCCUUCCGGGGUUCGAACCCCCGCCCCCGC
rnacentral:tRNA from 1 species